AAAGUCGUAACAAGGUUUCCGUAGGUGAACCUGCGGAAGGAUCAUUAUUGAAAUAGGAGACCCACUCGUUGGGCUUCAACCUUUCACAUUCAAACACACUGUGCACUGUCUAGAUGAACGUCAUUUCCCUCCGGGGGUGGCUACUAGUCUUAUUCUCCUUUCAAACACAAGUCAUUGCAUGUACAAACACAUAUAAUAAUAAAACUUUCAACAACGGAUCUCUUGGCUCCC
rnacentral:misc_RNA from 1 species